rnacentral:rRNA from 1 species
GACGUAGGGCGCGAGCGUUGUCCGGAUUUAUUGGGCGUAAAGAGCUCGUAGGCGGCUUGUCGCGUCGUCCGUGAAAACUUGGGGCUCAACCCCAAGCUUGCGGUCGAUACGGGCAGGCUAGAGUUCGGUAGGGGAGACUGGAAUUCCCGGUGUAGCGGUGGAAUGCGUAGAGAUCGGGAAGAACAUCAGUGGCGAAGGCGGCCUGCUGGGCUGUUGCUGACGCUGAGGCGCGACAGCGUGGGGAGCAAACAGG